rnacentral:rRNA from 1 species
CUAAGGCUCCAGAGGAAGCCACGGCUAACUCUGUGCCUGCAGCCGCGGUAAUACAGAGGCGGCAAGCGUUGUUCGGAAUUAUUGGGCGUAAAGAGCACGUAGGCGGCCUUGCAAGUCAGUUGUGAAAGCCUUCCGCUUAACGGAAGAAUGCCAGCUGAUACUACAGGGCUUGAGUACGGGAGGGGAGAGUGGAACUUCUGGUGGAGCGGUGAAAUGCGUAGAUAUCAGAAGGAACGCCGGCGGCGAAAGCGACUCUCUGGCCCGAAACUGACGCUGAGUGUGCGAAAGCUAGGGGAGCAAACGGGAUUAGAUACCCCGGUAGUCCUAGCCGUAAA